UAUCAUCAAACCCCUCGGGUUCGCGCCCGUUGCGGUUUGGAGUUGGGGGCUUGCUGCCGUGAGGCGGCUCCCCUUAAAAUCAUCGGUUUGGCCCGCAUCAUGCGGCUAGCACCUUUGGCGUUGUAUUUUCCUCGCCUUCGAUCGGUCUUGCUCGCUUCCGCGCCUCACCUCGACUUGCCCUUUGGGUGGCGGUCACUUCUUGACA
rnacentral:misc_RNA from 1 species